AUGGCUAGCCAUGUCGCUGCGACCUUGCCGCCGCUGUUGCCUACCCCGGCGCGCUGCCUCCUCCUGACGCCUCCUCCGGCGGUGUACACGGCUCGUGUGGAGCUGGACACCAAGAAGCAGCAGCCUGGACGUGCCUCGAUGAGCAGAAGCUGGAUCAGAGACAAGAUCGACCUUCCCGGACGUGCUUCCCGGAGCUCCAGCUGGGCCACUGACAAGACGCUCCGCCGUGCCGAGAGUUUGAACGGCGGCGUCGAGCGCCUCGGCCGCGUGGAGACGCCGAGAGAGAACUGGAAGAGGCCGGCGAGCCGCGCGCCAUCCGUCGACCGGUGCGACAAGAAGCCGAGGCCUCCGGCUGAGAUGGUGGCAGCUUCGCAGGCAUCAAUCUCCGCCGGCCCCGCCCCGUCGGCCGGCCGGUUCGGGAAGAAGACAAAGCCUGUGACUGAGAUGGAGCUAGACUCGGUGGUGACAUCCUUCGCUUGCCCUUCUCCGUCGAUCGACCUUUCGGAGAAGGCAGAGCCUACGACUGAGAUGGUGGCAGACUCGGUGGCGACACUCUUCGCUGGCCCUGUGGCGUCGGAGAAGAAGGCGACACCUCGUACCGUGGUGGAGGCAUCACCCUUCGCUGGCCUCGCUCCGUUGAUGGACCGGCCCGACAAGAAGCCAAAGGCUCUGGCUAAGAUGGAGGUGGACUCGGAGGCAUCCUUGUUCGCUGGCCCGACAUUCAUGGUGUCGCCGGACCCGAGCGAGCUGCCUAUGCCGACCUUCAUCAUGUCGCCGGAUCCGAGCGAGCUGCCCAUUCCAACCUUCCUCUAUAAGCACAAGGUCGCUAAAGUGUUAGCUAGCUUAGUCGCUCCGAUGCUCGUUGAUCAGUAA
rnacentral:rRNA from 1 species